GUCCCUUCGAGAACAUCCGAUAAAAUUGGAAUGAUACAGAGAAGAUUAGCAUGGCCCCUAUAGGUUUGGUCUUGACAUUUUAAAGACCCUAGGUAAAUAA